GCGGUUUGUCGCGUCUGCUGUGAAAGCCCGGGGUUUAACCCCGGGUGUGCAGUGGGUACGGGCAACUAGAGUGCAGUAGGGAGACUGGAAUCCUGGUGUAGCGGUGAAAUGCGCAGAUAUCAGGAGGAACACCGAUGGCGAAGGCAGGUCUCUGGGCUGUUACUGACGCUGAGGAGCGAAAGCAUGGGGAGCGAACAGGAUUAGAUACCCUGGUAGUCCAUGCCGUAAACGUUGGGCACUAGGUGUGGGGGACAUUCCACGUUUUCCGCGCCGUAGCUAACGCAUUAAGUGCCCCGCCUGGGGAGUACGGCCGCAAGGCUAAAACUCAAAGGAAUUGACGGGGGCCCGCACAAGCGGCGGAGCAUGCGGAUUAAUUCGAUGCAACGCGAAGAACCUUACCAAGGCUUGACAUACACCGGACCGCCCUAGAGAUAGGGUUUCCCUUCGGGGCUGGUGUACAGGUGGUGCAUGGUUAUCGUCAGCUCGUGUCGUGAGAUGUUGGGUUAAGUCCCGCAACGAGCGCAACCCUUGUCCUAUGUUGCCAGCACGUAAUGGUGGGGACUCAUGGGAGACUGCCGGGGUCAACUCGGAGGAAGGUGGGGAUGACGUCAAAUCAUCAUGCCCCUUAUGUCUUGGGCUUCACGCAUGCUACAAUGGCCGGUACAGUGGGUUGCGAUACUGUGAAGUGGAGCUAAUCCCUAAAAGCCGGUCUCAGUUCGGAUCGAAGUCUGCAA
rnacentral:rRNA from 1 species